rnacentral:lncRNA from 1 species
ACCAUCUUCAUUGGAAAUAAGAUUGCAAAGCUUGACAUGGAUGUCAUUCAGCUGAGCGGUGGUUCUCGCAUUCCGGUGUAUCUAGACUUCAGUGUGCUUGUUGGUUUUGAAAGUGGGCCGCGACCUGAUCUACGACUUGACUUGCAUCCUUACACGGACAGUGGCCCAAAGUAUUACGAUGCUAUUCUCAAUGGCGUAGAGAUCCUCAAGCUUAGUGUCUCUGGCGGAAAUCUUGCUGGACCUAAUCCUAAUCCUACGUCAGGUCUUACUCCAAACUCUGUAAAUCAAGAUAUACAAAAACCCAAAGCCAAGUCACACGUUUUGGUAAUAACACUUGGAACUGUUGGGUUUGCAAUUGUGUUAGCAAUGUUUAUUGUUGUUGUCAUCGUCAUGAAGAGGAGGAAGAAGAAAAAGAAGGUUAAUGUAGACACCAAGAGCAAGCCUACGGACUCGUGGACUACUCUUCCGCUUGUUGCCGGGUCCUCCCAUACCAGAUCGACCACAUCUCUUCCAUCCGAUCUCUGCCGUCGGUUCUCCAUCCUCGAGAUCAAAUCCGCCACAAACAAUUUCGAGAAAAAGCUGAUCGUUGGAGUAGGCGGGUUUGGUCCUGUCUACAAAGGAAGAAUCGACGGUGGAGCCACGCUUGUGGCUGUUAAACGGUUAGAUGUUUCAUCCAACCAAGGCGCUACCGAGUUCGAAGCAGAGCUCAAGAUGCUCUCGGUGCUCCGUCAUAUACAUCUCGUUUCCUUAAUCGGAUAUUGCGACGAUGUUCCUCUCUCUCUCUCUCUCUCUCUCUCUCUCUCUCUCUCUCUCUCUCUCUCUCUCACGAAACGUACAACUAGUUAAACUGGUACAACUAUUAGCAGUUGUACAACAAAUAAUUGCUUGGCUACAACAGCGACAAAAAUGCUAGCGACAACGACUACGAAGAAACCAUCUACGAAGAAAGAAGCGACGAAGAAAGCAACAGUGAGGGAAGCAGAAACGAGGGAAACGAAAACGAGGGAAGUGAUAAAUGAGUUUUGCUUAUGUGUUAUGAACAUUGCUUAUGUGUUGUGGAACUUAUUCAUGUGUUAGGGAUGCUAUUUAUGUGUUUUUAAACUUUGCAAUGGAGAAAAUUUGUAAUGUAUUGUUUCUGUCAGAUAUUACUGGUACAAUUGGUACUUCAUAUAAUACACAUUCAUGUUUAUGUGUUAUAACACUGGAAAAACUAGUACAACUAUACAAGUUGUAAAGUCUUUAGAAUGGUACAUCCUAACUAUUAGAAGUUUUAUCAAAAAAAAUCCGCAAUUAUAAACAAUCACAUAAGUUUCCAUUAUUUACCUUAUAAUUUAAAGGUUUGUUUACUUGUUUGUUCACUAUAUUUUUGAAAAAUAUACACUGGAUAUAUUUUAACAAAGUUAAUGAUUCCAUAGUAUGUGAUUCUAGGUAUUUAAAUAUAUACAAGUAGUACAACUGAUGUAUCUUUAUUUAAUAUUUGGUACAACUAGAUAUUUCAAAUUCUGGACCAAAAUACAACUAUGUACAAACUUGUACAACCCAAAACUCGGUACAACUAUGUAUACGAUUGUACAACUAAAAUAUUGGUACAACUACAUGUUAAUAAAUUUGGCACAUUUUAAUUGUUUACCACAUUUAAAUGCUCACUACGUUUUAAACAUGAUAGUUUUACCUUCUUUCGUUUAGUUGUACAAAUUGUACCCGUCAGAGUAAUUUUGUCAUAGUUAAUCUGGUUAAUUUAAUUAUACCAAAAACCUGUCAAGUUUAAACCUUUUGAAUUAACCCUAAAAACUUUUAAAUGUGCACUUUAACCUAUAUGGUAUUAUGCAUAUGCAAUAGAAACAUUUAGAUUCAUCUUAAAUAGUUUAAAUGUCUAAAAAAUGUUAAAAUGUAUUAAAUUCAUGAGAUAUAAAUAUUUCAUGUUUUAAACAUGAUUUUGUAUCAUUCAUUUAUUUUCUGGUAAAACCAUUCAUUUACUGGUAAAACUGGCAUAACAUUACAUUGUAUCCAAAAUUGUAUUUCUAGUAUAACUGUCAUUUCAAAAUUGAGAAAAUAGUGUGGGUUAUUGGUUAUACUAUUUUGAUAGAUUUACAAUUUUUUUAGAUUUAGAAAUCUUUGAUAAAUCCAUGAUUUUUAAAUCAAACAAGUGGAUUUUAAGAAUAAUUUAUGUAUUGCAAAAUCUAAAUAGAUUACUACCCAAUGUUAAAACAACAUAACUCAAGUUCUAGCACAAUUAAACUAGUAAUACUACUAUUGUAUCUAAACUAGUUGUACCACUUAUAUUAUUAUUGUCGUAGUCCAAACACCAAACAUGAAUGUUUAUGCAUCAUUUUCGAACUCAAAAAUGAUUUUUACAUAUUCCUUUGCACUUUGUUCUACUAAAUCUUCAUCUACUGUAAUUUUUUUCUAGCUUGCCAUCCACCGUCUUCGGCUUCGGAAGCAAAAAGAUGAAGAUGCAUAUUUUUUUGAAAAUAGUACAACUAGUAUAACUAGUACAACUUGCAAAUAAAUCAUUAUUAAAAUCAAAUAUUAUUGAAAAUUUACUAUUCAUGUAUUUUGACACAUGCAAGCGGGGAAGGUUAGAUCAACAUGUCUCAUUGGUUUCACAUCAUCCACUUUUCUAGCAUCACUCAUAUGCUGAAAUAAAAACGAAAUAUUGUCAUACUAAUUACAAAGUUAUACUAGUUAUACGCGUUUUAGUUGUACCAGUUAUACUUAAUGUAUUAGUACUAGUUAUAUUUGUUUUAGUUGUACUAGUUAUACUAGUGCGCGUUGUACUAGUUGUAUUAGUUAGAGUCAUACUAGUUGUACUGUACGCUGGGUUUUUUUUUGUCAUGAAUUUCGUGAGAAAAAAAUAAAAUUCAAUUUUUGAUAAGACAUAAUUGGUUACAUACAACUAUGGGUUGACCAAUUUUGGAUAAGAAAAAGAAAGUUAGUGAAUAUUUGAAGGAAAUUUUUGAUUUUUUAAAGGUGAAAGAAACAUCCAUGGAAAAAUAAAAAAAAGGAAGAAGAAAAAGAUGUUAUGUUGAUAACGAUGUGUGUCCCAGAAUUUGAUCCCAUAGAAUCGUAGAAACCGUGUUAUGUUGCAUCAUUUUAAAGUGGAAUGACACACGAACAAGUUGGACGUAUAACGACAAGGUGCUAAAUUAAAAGACAUGGAAGAAGUUUCGUCGGAAACUUCUUCUUUUGCUUGAGCUGAAAAGUCAGUUAAGGGUUGACCCGUUGACUUACUCACCACCACCCAUGGUUUUGCUUCAGUUUCUUAUCUUCUUCUUUACCAUUCACAAUAUCAUUCAACAACUCUCACUCUAUCAGUUCCUAUGACUUUUCAAGUUUUCUUAAUCUUCUCCAUUCUCGUUUCUACAGCCAUAGCAGGAGACGGUGCAACCGCUGCGUACGUUCCCACUGAUAUCUUUCUCUUCAACUGUGGCGAAACAUCCAACCAGAUGGACAUAAGUGGCCGUAACUGGAUGGCAGAGCAACCAAAUAUUCUUCCGUCAAAUGCAGCCAUAGCGUCGUUUGUUUCACAUGCGUCAUUCCAAGGAUCGGGAGUUCCUCAGGUUCCGUACAUGACUGCUCGAAUUUUCCGACAUGAUUUCACCUACAGUUUUCCCGUGUCUCCGGGCUGGAAGUUCCUCCGGUUAUACUUUUACCCUACCCGUUACAGUUCCGACCUCGAAGCUGCCGUAAACUCCUACUUCUCUGUCACCGUCAACGGUUUUACUCUCUUGAAGAACUUCCGUGCCGAUUUAACGGCAAAGGCUUCUCAUGAUGCGUCCAUAUUUAAGGAGUUCAUAGUCCCUGUUUCGAGUGGAUACACGAUGCUAAAUCUCACGUUCUCACCUUCUUUAAACAUGUUAGCUUUCGUGAACGGCAUCGAGAUUGUCUCCAUGCCUGAUCGGUUUUACUCCAAGGGAGGCUUCGACGACAAAAUAAAACAGGUAGGUAAUAGCAUUGACUUCGAGAUAAACAACAGCACGGCUUUCGAAACUGUUCACCGGCUAAACAUCGGUGGACAACUGAUUGACGGCAUAAGUGAUACAGGGAUGUUCCGGCCGUGGCUUGCUGAAAAGUUUCAACUAAGUGAAAAGUCGGGAAUCGUGCCAGUCGUUCCGGGUGUAAAGAUCAACUACAUGGAGAAUACUCCAGCGUAUGUCGCGCCGGAAGAUGUGUACACGACGUACCGUACAAUGGGUAACGCCGAGCAUCCUAGGCUGAACCAGAACUUCAAUCUGACAUGGCUCUUCCCAGUUGAUGCCGGGUUUAACUACCUCGUCAGGCUUCAUUUCUGUGAGACUCUAUCGGAUGUGAACGGACCGGGCCAACGUGUCUUCACCAUCUUCAUUGGAAAUAAGAUUGCAAAGCUUGACAUGGAUGUCAUUCAGCUGAGCGGUGGUUCUCGCAUUCCGGUGUAUCUAGACUUCAGUGUGCUUGUUGGUUUUGAAAGUGGGCCGCGACCUGAUCUACGACUUGACUUGCAUCCUUACACGGACAGUGGCCCAAAGUAUUACGAUGCUAUUCUCAAUGGCGUAGAGAUCCUCAAGCUUAGUGUCUCUGGCGGAAAUCUUGCUGGACCUAAUCCUAAUCCUACGUCAGGUCUUACUCCAAACUCUGUAAAUCAAGAUAUACAAAAACCCAAAGCCAAGUCACACGUUUUGGUAAUAACACUUGGAACUGUUGGGUUUGCAAUUGUGUUAGCAAUGUUUAUUGUUGUUGUCAUCGUCA